UACGUAGGUGGCAAGCGUUGUCCGGAAUUAUUGGGCGUAAAGCGCGCGCAGGCGGUCCUUUAAGUCUGAUGUGAAAGCCCUCGGCUCAACCGAGGAGGGUCAUUGGAAACUGGAGGACUUGAGUGCAGAAGAGGAAAGUGGAAUUCCAAGUGUAGCGGUGAAAUGCGUAGAGAUGUGGAGGAACACCAGUGGCGAAGGCGGCUCACUGGUCCGGUACUGACGCUGAGGCGCGAAAGCGUGGGGAGCAAACAGG
rnacentral:rRNA from 1 species